UACGUAGGGCGCAAGCGUUGUCCGGAAUUAUUGGGCGUAAAGAGCUCGUAGGCGGUCUGUUGCGUCCGCUGUGAAAACUCGGGGCUUAACCCCGAGCCUGCAGUGGAUACGGGCAGACUAGAGGGAGGUAGGGGAGAAUGGAAUUCCCGGUGUAGCGGUGAAAUGCGCAGAUAUCGGGAGGAACACCGGUGGCGAAGGCGGUUCUCUGGGCCUUACCUGACGCUGAGGAGCGAAAGCGUGGGGAGCGAACAGG
rnacentral:rRNA from 1 species